GGUGUGUGUGGAAACACCUUAUUUGGCUCACCUGGGUUUAUUGAUAGGCUGAAACUGGUAACAAAGGUCCUCUUGGAAGGGCUGCCUUCUAUCAGAGCAGCGGAUUCACCUGUUCCUCAGCCUUUUUAUUUCCCCCGAUGGACAAAAUUCUCAAAAAGAUUUCCCAAAGGGUCUCGAUGCCAUUCAGGAAGAGCUGCAGGAAGUUGGGCGCAGGUUCAGAAGUGUGACCUACCACAACAGGCAGGUGUUUGGCCCUUUCUACUCAGCAAUUCUCAAGAAAGUGCUUUUCCCAGAGGCAGAACCAGAUUCAGGAAGAGAUUCUAUGUGAUCAUCUUUGCUAUGUACCACACAGGAGGACAAGGGUGGAACACAUUCUCCAACAAUUUCUCAAAUCAUGCUUCAGCUUGUAAAAAAAAUCAGACAAACCCAUCUAGGCAGCACAGCUACUGGGAAGUGACUCUUAGCAUGUCAAUAUCUGAAUAAACCUCUCAACUGCAAAAGGCAACGGCUUUCUUGUCCCACCAAAAAACUGCCACUAUUUAGCAGGGAAGGAAAUGGGAGGUGGAGGUUAUAAAACUGCAAUGAAAUUUCAGGUUUUUUCUUUAUUUUUUCCCUAAUUCAAGGUGUUAAUUCUGCGGUGGGUCUGUUGCCUGCUCUGCUGAAAUGUUAGGCACAGUCCAGGGACGCAGUUUGGAUUUGAUAAAGCCAUAUGGUAUUUAAGAUCAUUAAAACUGCUCAAUAUAUUUCAGUGUUAGCUUGAAAACCUGACUUACUGAGUUAUUAGAUGGAACAUAUGGUAUAAAUUUAGCAGCCCCCGAUGUAUUUAGUAUUUCACAUCAGCCAGAUUUUAUUUGACACAAAACCCUGAACUUUAACCUGUAUUUAAAUGCCUGGAUUUCUUGCUCUAAUUUUAUAUAGUGAAAACGUCCUACUUCUUGGUAUGCCAAAAAUCCUUGCUGGUAAAUACUAUAUACAAUGGCUGCCCAAACUGUUACUGUUGUUACAUGAAUCGAUGGCUGCUGUGCGGCAGAGCAUUGGUUUGAGUGUUUAUCAUUGCUAAAUCAGGGUCCUGACAGUCCAUCCUUGGUAGAACAGUCCUCGCACAUGUAUGUUAAAAGGCUUAACAUCAGCUUUUCCCAUGGACAAGGUGAUAGCAGACCAUCAUGCUGUAGGUAAGUCUAUCUUUCAAGAACACACAGAUGAGUUUUUAUACAUAAGUAAGUCUGAAAAGAAUUUUGUAUUCGGGAUCAGUAUGAUUAGCUGCAAAAAGAGCAGCCUCAGCCAAAGUGACUGCUGAGCAGCCAGCAUUCUGCAUCUAGAAUGCCACACACGUUAGGAUGGCACAUAU
rnacentral:lncRNA from 1 species